CAAAGGUUCUCUCAGUACGGUCGGAAAUCGUACGUAGAGUGUAAAGGCAAAAGAGAGCUUGAUUGCAAGACAUACAGGUCGAGCAAGGAUGAAAAUCGGACUUAGUGAUCCGGUGGUUCUGCGUGGAAGGGCCAGCGCUCAACGGAUAAAAGCUACCCUGGGGAUAACAGGCUUAUCUCCCCCAAGAGUCCACAUCGACGGGGAGGUUUGGCACCUCGAUGUCGGCUCAUCACAUCCUGGGGCUGUAGUAGGUCCCAAGGGUUGGGCUGUUCG
rnacentral:rRNA from 1 species